UUUCCCAUGAUGUCAAGCAAAGAGGCACUGAGUUGAAAGAACUGGUCCAAAUAGGGAGCUGGAAAGUGAGACCAUCAAUGCCUACAUGUUCCAUCUGGUGCGAAAUUUUUAAAGGCAGUCAACCGAGCAAGCUUUCUACAAUGACCUUUAAAAUUACUGGCAUUUGGGGAGCAAGAAAUCAAAACUUAAGAUUGAUCCAAUGAUGUACAAGUACAUUAUUGGCAUCAUCAAUGAACACAACCACUGGACUGUGACGGUUAUCCUGCCAUCCCAGAAGAGGGCUCUGUUCCUCAAACCAAUGGGAAAAAGUGCCAGAAAGAUAAAAAGAUGCCAGGGGGUGAACAAGAUCAUUCCUGAGAGAGAAGGGGUGUAAUAUCUCCAGAUGGGUAUGUGGUACCCUUCCUCACCCAUGCCAACAAGAUGUUACUUCUUUUGGGGUCUUUGCCUUGAAAGAGGAGUCGAUUGUCUUUUCAAAUACGGACGA